CGGUUCUACAAGUCUUCCGUUAAAUCCACCUGCUCAACAGAUGGGCUGCGGAAGAUACUAUGGAGCUAGGAGGCGGGAGAGGCAAACGGUACUCAGUGGGUAGGGGUAAAAUCCUUUGAUCUACUGAAGACCACCAGUGGCGAAGGCGGUUUGCCAGAACGCGCUCGACGGUGAGGGAUGAAAGCUGGGGGAGCAAACCGGAUUAGAUACCCGGGUAGUCCCAGCUGUAAACGACGCAGACUCGGUGAUGAAUUGGCUUCAUGCCAAUUCAGUGCCGCAGGGAAGCCGUUAAGUUUGCCGCCUGGGGA
rnacentral:rRNA from 1 species